rnacentral:rRNA from 1 species
CUACGGGGCGCAGCAGUGGGGAAUAUUGGACAAUGGGGGCAACCCUGAUCCAGCCAUGCCGCGUGUGUGAAGGAGGCCUUUUGGUUGUAAAGCACUUUAAGCGAGGAGGAGGCUACUGGUACUAAUAUUACCAGCUAGUGGACGUUACUCGCAGAAUAAGCACCGGCUAACUCUGUGCCAGCAGCCGCGGUAAUACAGAGGGUGCGAGCGUUAAUCGGAAUUACUGGGCGUAAAGCGCGCGUAGGCGGUUUGUUAAGUCGGAUGUGAAAUCCCCGGGCUCAACCUGGGAAUUGCAUUCGAUACUGGCAAGCUAGAGUAUGGGAGAGGAAGGUAGAAUUCCAGGUGUAGCGGUGAAAUGCGUAGAGAUCUGGAGGAAUACCGAUGGCGAAGGCAGCCUUCUGGCCUAAUACUGACGCUGAGGUGCGAAAGCAUGGGGAGCAAACAGGAUUAGAUACCCUAGUAGUC